ACGGGUGCGUAACACGUGGGUAAUCUGCCUUAGAGUCGAGGAUAACCUUCCGAAAGGUUGGCUAAUACUCGGUAAGCUUACGGUGUCUUCGGACGCUGUGGGAAAAGUAGGCCUCUGUUUACAAGCUUACGCUCUGAGAUGAGCCCGCGGCCCAUCAGCUAGUUGGCGGGGUAACGGCCCACCAAGGCAACGACGGGUAGCUGGUCUGAGAGGACGAUCAGCCACACUGGAACUGAGACACGGUCCAGACUCCUACGGGAGGCAGCAGUGGGGAAUUUUCCACAAUGGGCGAAAGCCUGAUGGAGCAACGCCGCGUGUGUGAUGAAGGUUUUCGGAUCGUAAAGCACUUUCGACCGGGACGAAAAACCUCUGGCUAACAUCCAGGGGCCUGUCGGUACCGGGAGAAGAAGCACCGGCUAACUCUGUGCCAGCAGCCGCGGUAAUACAGAGGGUGCAAGCGUUGUUCGGAAUUAUUGGGCGUAAAGCGCGUGUAGGCGGCUUGGCAAGUCAGAUGUGAAAGCCCUCGGCUUAACCGAGGAAGUGCGUCUGAAACUGCUGAGCUUGAGUCUCGGAGAGGAUGGCGGAAUUCC
rnacentral:rRNA from 1 species